CAGCCGCCACGGGAAUACAGAGGGUGCGAGCGUUAAUCGGAUUUACUGGGCGUAAAGCGUGCGUAGGCGGCUAAUUGAGUCGGAUGUGAAAUCCCCGAGCUUAACUUGGUAAUUGCAUUCGAUACUGGUUAGCUAGAGUGUGGGAGAGGAUGGUAGAAUUCCAGGUGUAGCGGUGAAAUGCGUAGAGAUCUGGAGGAAUACCGAUGGCGAAGGCAGCCAUCUGGCCUAACACUGACGCUGAGGUACGAAAGCAUGGGGAGCAAACAGGAUUAGAUACCCCAGUAGUCCCUGUCUCUUAUAC
rnacentral:rRNA from 1 species